GGUGUGGGUGGUGUCAAAGUCAAGCUGAUCGCUAAGGUAGCGCCGAAAGAGCACGGCUCCGUCGUCAGCUUCGAUGUGCACCUCGGCGGCCCGGCCCUGCUCGGGCCGAUCGGCAU
rnacentral:rRNA from 1 species